AUGCUCAAACUAUCGAACAAUUGCACUCAUCUCACACCUAGUAAAGUACUGCUCAAAAUUCUCCAAGCCAGGCUUAAGGAAUAUGUGUACCAUGAAUUUCCAGAUGUACAAGCUGGUUUUAGAAAAGGCAGAGGAACCAGAGAUCAAAUUGCCAACAUCCACUGGAUCAUUGAAAAACCAAGAGAGUUCCAGAAAAAUAUCUAUUUUUGCUUUAUUUACUAUGCGAAAGCCUUUGUGUGGAUUACAAGAAACUGGAAAAUUCUGAAAGAGAUGGGAAUACCAGACCACCUGACCUACCUCUUGAGAAAUUUAUUUGCAGGUCAGGAAGCAACAGUUAGAACUGGACAUGGAACAACAGACUGGUUCCAAAUAGGAAAAGGCUGUCUAUUGUCACCCUGCUUAUUUAACUUAUAUGUAGAGUACAUCAUGAGAAACCCUGGGCUGAAAGAAGCACAAGCUGGAUUCAAGAUUGCUGGGAGAAAUAUCAAUAACCCCAGAUAUGCAGAUGACACCACCAUGGCAGAAAGUGAAGAGGAACUAAAAAGCCUCUUGAUGAAAGUGAAAGAGGACAGUGAAAAAGUUGGCUUAAUGCUCAACAUUCAGAAAACUAAAAUCUUGGCAUCUGGUCCCAUCACUUCAUGGGAAAUAGAUGGGGGAACAGUGGAAACAGUGGCUGACUUUAUUUUGGGGGGCUCCAAAAUCACUGCAGAUGGUGACUGCAGCCAUGAAAUUAAAAGAAGCUUACUCCUUGGAAGAAAAGUUAUGACCAACCUAGACAGCAAAUUAAAAAGCAGAGAUAUUAUUUUGCCAACAAAGGUCCGUCUAGUCAAGACUAUGGUUUUUCCAGUAGACAUGUAUGGAUUUGAGAGUUGGACUGUGAGGAAAGCUGAGCACCAAAGAAUUGAUGCUUUUGAACUGUGGUGUUGGAGAAGACUCUUGAGAGUCCCUUGGACUGCAAGGAAAUCCAACCAGUCCAUUUUGAAGGAGAUCAGCCCUGGGAUUUCUUUGGAAGGAAUGAUGCUAAGGCUGAAACUCCAGUACUUUGGCCACCACCUCAUGCAAAGAGUUGACUCAUUGGAAAGACUCUGA
rnacentral:lncRNA from 1 species